GAUCUAGCAUCAGAUUAAGUCUUAGUAUACAAUUGAAAACAGGAAAAAUAAAGUUUCGCUUGACAUCAGAACAUUUUGAUCCAAUACUUAUUUCGUUAAUAGCUCAUGCUCAAAUACAAAAUACACGACAACAAAUUCCUUUGGCCAGUUUUAAGACAGAGGCCAUCUGCAGACAACACUGAAGGAGUUUUAGCUUUAAAGACUGAAUAUGAGGAGAAACCGGGACGUCGCAAAGGAACACUGCAAAUUGAAAAUGGUGUGAUUAAAGCUAGCAGCUCCUUUGCUGAUGACUACAGUAUUUCCCCUCCUAUGGCAUCCCCCUGCUGGCUCGUUUCACCUGGUCAAGCUCUGCAGAGACCCCUGCAAGAUUUUCACACUGCACAAAUUUAACAAAUGACCUUGGUUGAAAUGUUUUAAGAAUAAAAAUGAUUUCAAAGAAAAAACAAAACUAAAUUUACAUGGUCUUUCCAAGAUAAUGAAAGAAUACAGUUACAUGUCUAACAUUAUAAAAAUCCCCGUUGUGGUGAUAUUAGUGAAACAUGAAGAUUGUGUACAAUUGCACUAUUGUAUACUUGAAAUGUAAAAAUAAAACACACGUUUUGUUUGUGACAAAGAUUUGAUCUAACAUCAGAUUAAGUCUUAGUAUACAAUUGAAAACAGGAAUAAUAAAGUUUCGCUUGACAUCAGAUCAUUUUGAUCCAAUCUUAUUUC